CUCUAUAAAAAUAUUAGAGGUGAUGCCUGCCCAGUGGGGAUGGUAUAAAAAUUAUAGUGAAAUUUUAUUUUCCCUAAACGGAUGCGGUAACUCUGACUGUAAUAAAGUAGCAUAAUUAAUUGUCAUUUAAUUGGUGGAGAGAAUGAAUGGCUAAACGUAUGUCUCAUUGUCUUGGGGGAAAGUUUUUGAAAUUAGAAUAAUAGUGAAGAUCCUAUUAAUCACCGUUAGACGAAAAGACCCUAUAGAGCUUGACUAUACUCUGGAAAUGACUUUCUGGAUUGGUAGUUUAGUUGGGGCGACUAUCUUUUAUAAGUAACAAAGAUAAGCAUAAUAAUGAAAAAGUUUUAUUGUUUAAUUAAUAAAUUUAACAAUUACUAAAGUAGGCUAUAAUGACCCAUUAGAAUUAAAAUAAAUCUAAUGAUUAUUAAAUAAAAGCUACCUUAGGGAUAACAGGAUAAUUUUGUUUUAGAGAUCAUAUCAAAUACAAAGUUUGUCACCUCUAUGUUGAAUUAAGAUGACCGAAUAAUGCARAAGUUAUUUAAGGUAGGUCUGUUCGACCUUUAAAAU
rnacentral:rRNA from 1 species